UUAAAAGUAUUUUAAAAUUCCAUAUUUUGUAUUAAUAGCUUGAAGAUUUAUUUUUUAUAUGACUGCGGCGUAUAUUAAUUUCUUAUUCGACUCUGUGAAUGACUCAGAAAAUGUUAGUAACUAUGACAAAAAUGAGGACGUGGACGACAUUAACCUAAUGCCUGAUGAUAUAGACCCUUAUUCGGAGGUAAAAUUAUAAGUUCCACGUCAAUUCGGCGCGGAAAAUUUGGCCCACGACAAUUCGACGCAGAAAACUCGGCGCGGCGUUAAUUCGGCGCAUCGUUAAUUCAGCGCGGAGACAACUCGGCGCAACGUCAAUUCGGCGCGGCUACAAACCGACGCAACGUCAAUUCGGCGCGUAUCUAAUACAGUUGCAAUUUAUUAUAAAUUUAUUAGUAUAAUAAAGGAGACUUCCAAAAAUCAUAAUGAUGAUUCCAUUAAGAAUGCUGCAUUAAAUGUUAACAAAGUGUAUGACAUAUAAAAGUUAUGUGAGCACAUUUAGUAAUUAUGUGGCUACAUUACUUGAUCCUAAAACUAAAAUUAAAUAUAUGCCUAUAAUAUUAGUUAAGGCGAACUAUAUGGAAAAGUUUAAAAUAUUAUAUAAAGGUUUUGAAUUUCCAUCUAAUAGAUCUAUUGUUUACGAAUUUUCUCCUGAUGACAUGGAUACUCAGCCGUAUUCUGUUUGCAUGCAUCACGAAUUGAGAAAAUGACAAGGAUUAUCUCGAUGAUAAAGUAGCGUCCCCUACAACGUAUAUACUAGAUUGGUGGGAAAAAAAUAGCCUUAUCUAUCCUACAUUGUCGCUGAUUGCAAAAGAUUUUCUUGCCCAGCAAUCAUCAAGUGUGCCGAGUGAGAGAGCCUUUAGCAAGACAGUGGAUUUCCUGACGAAAAAAAGAAAUAGGAUGUCACCAUCCACCUUAAAGCAUUGUUUAUCCUUGAAUAACUGAUAUUUUUUUCUUAUGUUAUACCAUAUAAUAUUUUUUUCUUAUGUUAUUAUAUCUUAUUUAGAAACAGAAAAAUAAAGUAAAUUAUGUAA